GACGAACGCUGGCGGCGCGCCUAACACAUGCAAGUCGAACGAGAGAGAGGAAGCUUGCUUCCUCGAUCGAGUGGCGAACGGGUGAGUAACGCGUGAGGAACCUGCCUCAAAGAGGGGGACAACAGUUGGAAACGACUGCUAAUACCGCGUAAGCCCACGGCUCGGCAUCGAGCAGAGGGAAAAGGAGCAAUCCGCUUUGAGAUAGCCUCGCGUCCGAUUAGCUAGUUGGUGAGGUAAUGGCCCACCAAGGCGACGAUCGGUAGCCGGACUGAGAGGUUGAACGGCCACAUUGGGACUGAGACACGGCCCAGACUCCUACGGGAGGCAGCAGUGGGGAAUAUUGCACAAUGGGGGAAACCCUGAUGCAGCGACGCCGCGUGGAGGAAGAAGGUCUUCGGAUUGUAAACUCCUGUUGUUGAGGAAGAUAAUGACGGUACUCAACAAGGAAGUGACGGCUAACUACGUGCCAGCCGCCGCGGUAAAA
rnacentral:rRNA from 1 species